rnacentral:sRNA from 1 species
UUUUUUAUAACUAAAUAUCCAGACCACACAGUAAUCUUAUUAUCUUACUGGGCCUAAACCCGCGAUUAGGGAUUUUUAAACCUCCACAUAAAAAUCCGCUGGAACUAAUGGUCUGAGACACUAGAGCAAGUACGCAUGUUAAUUUCUUAAUGGCCAGGAAUCAAACCCGGAUGAUGGGCGCCUCAGUCGAGUUUCCUUUACCAAUAAACCACGAUGCCUGAUUAUCUCCACAUAUUUUUCUAUCCACUUUUUUUAGAUGAUCAAAUCUAUUAUUUCCUAUCUUAACUUUUAUAUGAUCAUCGCAGGAAAC